rnacentral:rRNA from 1 species
GAUAAACGCUGGCGGCGUGCAUUAUGCAUGCAAGUUGAACGGUUCUGAUUUUAUCAGGAUAGUGGCAAACGGGUGAGUAACACGUAAGUAACCUGCCCCUAAGUGGGGAAUAACCUCGGGAAACCGAGGCUAAUACCGCAUGUUGUGGUGGAGGUAAGGCUUCAUCACCAAAGCCUUCGGGUGCUUGGGGAGGGGCCUGCGUCCGAUUAGCUAGUUGGUAUGGUAAUGGCUUACCAAGGCGAUGAUCGGUAGCUGGUCUGAGAGGAUGGUCAGCCACACUGGGACUGAGAUACGGCCCAGACUCCUACGGGAGGCAGCAGCAAGGAAUUUUGUGCAAUGGGCGAAAGCCUGACACAGCAACGCCGCGUGGGGGAUGAAGGCCUUCGGGUUGUAAACCCCUUUUCUCAGGGAAGAAUAAUGACGGUACCUGGGGAAUAAGCCUUGGCUAACUACGUG